CAGCACCUCAAGUGGUCAGGAUGAUUAUUGGGCCUAAAGCAUCCGUAGCCGGCGCUGUAAGUUUUCGGUUAAAUCUGUACGCUCAACGUACAGGCUGCCGGGAAUACUGCAGCGAUAGGGAGUGGGAGAGGUAGACGGUACUCGGUAGGAAGGGGUAAAAUCCUUUGAUCUAUUGAUGACCACCUGUGGCGAAGGCGGUCUACCAGAACACGUCCGACGGUGAGGGAUGAAAGCUGGGGGAGCAAACCGGAUUAGAUACCCGAGUAGUCC
rnacentral:rRNA from 1 species